rnacentral:rRNA from 1 species
UACGUAGGGUGCGAGCGUUGUCCGGAAUUACUGGGCGUAAAGAGCUCGUAGGUGGUUUGUCGCGUUGUUCGUGAAAUCUCACGGCUUAACUGUGAGCGUGCGGGCGAUACGGGCAGACUGGAGUACUGCAGGGGAGACUGGAAUUCCUGGUGUAGCGGUGGAAUGCGCAGAUAUCAGGAAGAACACCUAUGGCGAAGGCAGCUCUCUGGGACGGUACUGACGCUGAGACGCGAAAGCGUGGGAGCGAACAGG